GACGAACGCUGGCGGCGUGCUUAACACAUGCAAGUCGAACGGAAAGGCCCUGCUUUUGUGGGGUGCUCGAGUGGCGAACGGGUGAGUAACACGUGAGUAACCUGCCCUUGACUUUGGGAUAACUUCAGGAAACUGGGGCUAAUACCGGAUAGGAGCUCCUGCUGCAUGGUGGGGGUUGGAAAGUUUCGGCGGUUGGGGAUGGACUCGCGGCUUAUCAGCCUGUUGGUGGGGUAGUGGCUUACCAAGGCUUUGACGGGUAGCCGGCCUGAGAGGGUGACCGGGAAAAUUGGGACUGAGACACGAGCGAGACUCCUACGGGGGGCAGCGGUGGGGGGGAGAGAGCAAUGGGCGGAAGCGUGAUGCGACAGAGGGGGGUGUGGGGGGAGGGCACCCGGGUUGUAAACCGCAAAGGCCUGGGACGAAGCUGUAGUGACGGUAGUGGGUAAAGAAGCACCGGCUAACUACGUG
rnacentral:rRNA from 1 species